rnacentral:rRNA from 1 species
AUUGAACGCUGGCGGCAGGCCUAACACAUGCAAGUCGAACGAGUGGCGGACGGGUGAGCAAUGUCUUGGAAACUGCCUGAUGGAGGGGGAUAACUACUGGAAACGGUUGCUAAUAACGCCUACCAGCGCAUGUGCCCAGAUGGGAUGAGCUAGUGGUUGGGGUAAAGGCUAACCUAGGCGACUAGCCGUAGCUGGUCUGAGAGGAUUAACAGGCACACUGGAACUGAGACACGGUCCAGAUGCCUACGGGAGGAAGCAGUGGGGAAUAUUGCACAAUGGGCGAAAGCCUGAUGCAGCCAUGCCGCGUGUGUGAAGAAGGGCUUCGGAUUGUAAAGCACUUUAAGCGGGGAGGCGUUACCAGCAGAAGAAGCACCGGCUAACUCCGUGCCAGCCGCCGCGGUAAUAC